rnacentral:lncRNA from 1 species
UGGAGUAAUUGCAUUGUGCGAAAUUUAGCAUCUGAAAGCAUAAUAGAUGACAUGACUUUUCUUCUCAAUCCGCUGCCCUAGAACCGCUCCCACUGUAUAAUUGCUUGCAUCACACAUGAUUUCAAAAGGUAAAUCCCAUCUAGGUGGUUGAAUAAUAGGUGUGCUUGUCAACAAAUCUUUGAGUUUUACAAAUGCCUCUCUGCAUUCUUUCCCAAAC